GGAGCCGACCUUGAAAUACCACCCUUUAAUGUUUGAUGUUCUAACGUGGAUCCGUAAUCCGGGUUGCGGACAGUGUCUGGUGGGUAGUUUGACUGGGGCGGUCUCCUCCUAAAGAGUAACGGAGGAGCACGAAGGUUGGCUAAUCCUGGUCGGACAUCAGGAGGUUAGUGCAAUGGCAUAAGCCAGCUUGACUGCGAGCGUGACGGCGCGAGCAGGUGCGAAAGCAGGUCAUAGUGAUCCGGUGGUUCUGAAUGGAAGGGCCAUCGCUCAACGGAUAAAAGGUACUCCGGGGAUAACAGGCUGAUACCGCCCAAGAGUUCAUAUCGACGGCGGUGUUUGGCACCUCGAUGUCGGCUCAUCACAUCCUGGGGCUGAAGUAGGUCCCAAGGGUAUGGCUGUUCGCCAUUUAAAGUGGUACGCGAGCUGGGUUUAGAACGUCGUGAGACAGUUCGGUCCCUAUCUGCCGUGGGCGCUGGAGAACUGAGGGGGGCUGCUCCUAGUACGAGAGGACCGGAGUGGACGCAUCACUGGUGUUCGGGUUGUCAUGCCAAUGGCACUGCCCGGUAGCUAAAUGCGGAAGAGAUAAGUGCUGAAAGCAUCUAAGCACGAAACUUGCCCCGAGAUGAGUUCUCCCUGAGACUUAGAGUCUCCUGAAGGAACGUUGAAGACGACGACGUUGAUAGGCCGGGUGUGUAAGCGCAGCGAUGCGUUGAGCUAACCGGUACUAAUGAACCGUGAGGCUUAACCUUACAACGCCGAAG
rnacentral:rRNA from 1 species